rnacentral:rRNA from 1 species
UGCAAGUCGAGCGGAUCUUCAUUAGCUUGCUUUUGAAGAUCAGCGGCGGACGGGUGAGUAACACGUGGGCAACCUGCCUGUAAGACUGGGAUAACUUCGGGAAACCGGAGCUAAUACCGGAUAAUCCUUUCCCUCUCAUGAGGGAAAGCUGAAAGACGGUUUCGGCUGUCACUUACAGAUGGGCCCGCGGCGCAUUAGCUAGUUGGUGAGGUAACGGCUCACCAAGGCGACGAUGCGUAGCCGACCUGAGAGGGUGAUCGGCCACACUGGGACUGAGACACGGCCCAGACUCCUACGGGAGGCAGCAGUAGGGAAUCUUCCGCAAUGGACGAAAGUCUGACGGAGCAACGCCGCGUGAGCGAUGAAGGCCUUCGGGUCGUAAAGCUCUGUUGUCAGGGAAGAACAAGUACCGGAGUAACUGCCGGUACCUUGACGGUACCUGACCAGAAAGCCACGGCUAACUACGUGCCAGCAGCCGCGGUAAUACGUAGGUGGCAAGCGUUGUCCGGAAUUAUUGGGCGUAAAGCGCGCGCAGGCGGUUCCUUAAGUCUGAUGUGAAAGCCCCCGGCUCAACCGGGGAGGGUCAUUGGAAACUGGGGAACUUGAGUGCAGAAGAGGAGAGCGGAAUUCCACGUGUAGCGGUGAAAUGCGUAGAGAUGUGGAGGAACACCAGUGGCGAAGGCGGCUCUCUGGUCUGUAACUGACGCUGAGGCGCGAAAGCGUGGGGAGCGAACAGGAUUAGAUACCCUGGUAGUCCACGCCGUAAACGAUGAGUGCUAAGUGUUAGAGGGUUUCCGCCCUUUAGUGCUGCAGCAAACGCAUUAAGCACUCCGCCUGGGGAGUACGGCCGCAAGGCUGAAACUCAAAGGAAUUGACGGGGGCCCGCACAAGCGGUGGAGCAUGUGGUUUAAUUCGAAGCAACGCGAAGAACCUUACCAGGUCUUGACAUCCUCUGACAACCCUAGAGAUAGGGCGUUCCCCUUCGGGGGACAGAGUGACAGGUGGUGCAUGGUUGUCGUCAGCUCGUGUCGUGAGAUGUUGGGUUAAGUCCCGCAACGAGCGCAACCCUUGAUUUUAGUUGCCAGCAUUCAGUUGGGCACUUUAAGGUGACUGCCGGUGACAAACCGGAGGAAGGUGGGGAUGACGUCAAAUCAUCAUGCCCCUUAUGACCUGGGCUACACACGUGCUA